UGGUAACAUGUUUCCGGCAAUUUGUGGAUAGGACUCCCUUUUCUUGCUACUUGGAGUUGUUUUUAGGGUGAGACAAUGUUAAACUCAAUUGUUUCUCUAACACUGAAAUUUAGUGCAAUGCAGUUAGUUGCUUACCAUACUAUGUUAGUUGUAAUCUAAUUUUUUUUUCAAUUUAAGUAAUGAAAGAAGGUGUUAAAAGAUGGAAAUAAAAAAACAAGAGAUAGUGAGCCUUCGGAAAGAGGAAUGCAAAAUUUAAGCCUGCCAAAGAUUCUAAAUUGGUUUUUUAAGAUUUUGGUGGCUGAUUGAGACAGUAGAAGAUAGGGUUAACUAUUAAAUUGGCCGGUCCCAAUUUGAAGCCUAAUAUGCUU
rnacentral:misc_RNA from 1 species